GGUGGGAUGGCCGAGUGGUCUAAGGCGUUGGAUUUAAGCAAUUUGACUUGCUUCCCAAUGGAGGAAACUCCGCGCGAGUUCGAACCUCGCUUCCACCA
rfam:Gymnopus luxurians FD-317 M1 unplaced genomic scaffold GYMLTscaffold_15, whole genome shotgun sequence.